rnacentral:rRNA from 2 species
GCUUUUAAAGUUAGCGGCGGACGGGUGAGUAACACGUGGGCAACCUGCCUGUAAGACUGGGAUAACUUCGGGAAACCGGAGCUAAUACCGGAUAAUCCUUUUCUACACAUGUAGAAAAGCUGAAAGACGGUUUACGCUGUCACUUACAGAUGGGCCCGCGGCGCAUUAGCUAGUUGGUGAGGUAACGGCUCACCAAGGCAACGAUGCGUAGCCGACCUGAGAGGGUGAUCGGCCACACUGGGACUGAGACACGGCCCAGACUCCUACGGGAGGCAGCAGUAGGGAAUCUUCCGCAAUGGACGAAAGUCUGACGGAGCAACGCCGCGUGAGUGAUGAAGGUUUUCGGAUCGUAAAACUCUGUUGUUAGGGAAGAACAAGUACAAGAGUAACUGCUUGUACCUUGACGGUACCUAACCAGAAAGCCACGGCUAACUACGUGCCAGCAGCCGCGGUAAUACGUAGGUGGCAAGCGUUGUCCGGAAUUAUUGGGCGUAAAGCGCGCGCAGGCGGUCCUUUAAGUCUGAUGUGAAAGCCCACGGCUCAACCGUGGAGGGUCAUUGGAAACUGGGGGACUUGAGUGCAGAAGAGAAGAGUGCACGUGUAGCGGUGAAAUGCGUAGAGAUGUGGAGGAACACCAGUGGCGAAGGCGACUCUUUGGUCUGUAACUGACGCUGAGGCGCGAAAGCGUGGGGAGCAAACAGGAUUAGAUACCCUGGUAGUCCACGCCGUAAACGAUGAGUGCUAAGUGUUAGAGGGUUUCCGCCCUUUAGUGCUGCAGCAAACGCAUUAAGCACUCCGCCUGGGGAGUACGGCCGCAAGGCUGAAACUCAAAGGAAUUGACGGGGGCCCGCACAAGCGGUGGAGCAUGUGGUUUAAUGCAACGCGAAGAACCUUACCAGGUCUUGACAUCCUCUGACACUCCUAGAGAUAGGACGUUCCCCUUCGGGGGACAGAGUGACAGGUGGUGCAUGGGUUGUCGUCAGCUCGUGUCGUGAGAUGUUUGGGUUUAAGUCCCGCACGAGCGCAACCCUUUGAUCUUAGUUGCCAGCAUUUAGUUGGGCACUCUAUGUGACUGCCGGUGACAACCGAAGAGGUGGGGAUGACGUCAAAUCAUCAUGCCCCUGAUGACUGGGCUAGCGCAGUGCCUACCAUGGAUUGUUACAAGGCAGCCAGAGGCGCUGACGUCUUAGCAAUCCCAUG